rnacentral:rRNA from 1 species
UACGGAGGAGGCAAGCGUUAUCCGGAAUUAUUGGGCGUAAAGCGUCCGUAGGUGGUUUAGUAAGUCUGCUGUUAAAGCGCGGGGCUUAACUCCGUAUCGGCAGUGGAAACUACUAGACUAGAGUGUGGUAGGGGUAGAGGUAAUUCCCAGUGUAGCGGUGAAAUGCGUAGAUAUUGGGAAGAACACCGGUGGCGAAGGCGCUCUGCUGGACCAUAACUGACACUCAGGGACGAAAGCUAGGGGAGCGAAUGGG